AACGAACGCUGGCGGCAUGCCUAACACAUGCAAGUCGAACGAGACCUUCGGGUCUAGUGGCGCACGGGUGCGUAACGCGUGGGAACCUGCCCUUAGGUUCGGAAUAACUCCCCGAAAGGGGUGCUAAUACCGGAUAAUGUCUUCGGACCAAAGAUUUAUCGCCUUUGGAUGGGCCCGCGUUGGAUUAGCUAGUUGGUAGGGUAAAAGCCUACCAAGGCGACGAUCCAUAGCUGGUCUGAGAGGAUGAUCAGCCACACUGGGACUGAGACACGGCCCAGACUCCUACGGGAGGCAGCAGUGGGGAAUAUUGGACAAUGGGCGAAAGCCUGAUCCAGCAAUGCCGCGUGAGUGAUGAAGGCCUUAGGGUUGUAAAGCUCUUUUACCCGGGAUGAUAAUGACAGUACCGGGAGAAUAAGCUACGGCUAACUCCGUG
rnacentral:rRNA from 1 species